rnacentral:rRNA from 1 species
UACGUAGGGUGCAAGCGUUGUCCGGAAUUAUUGGGCGUAAAGAGCUCGUAGGCGGUCUGUCGCGUCGGCUGUGAAAUCCCGAGGCUCAACCUCGGGUCUGCAGUCGAUACGAGCAAACUAGAGUGUUGCAGGGGAGACUGGAAUUCCUGGUGUAGCGGUGAAAUGCGCAGAUAUCAGGAGGAACACCGGUGGCGAAGGCGGGUCUCUGGGCAGCAACUGACGCUGAGGAGCGAAAGCGUGGGGAGCGAACAGG